rnacentral:lncRNA from 1 species
UGGUUUUGGCUGUUGGAUUUUACUCAAAAUGCACCAAAUGACUCCUCUCACAACAUUAUGAUGUUUCCCAUGUUUUGGACUCAAACCAACAUCGAUUGGUCCAUGAAAUCGAACAAUUCUGGUUCAUACAAGGUUCUUUCUGAAAUGGAGUGGUUUGUGUAUUGUAUAGUUAUAGACAUUCGAUUUCACUCAAAACCCA